rnacentral:rRNA from 1 species
CCUACGGGUGGCUGCAGUGGGGCAUAUUGCACAAUGGGGGAAACCCUGAUGCAGCGACGCCGCGUGAGUGAAGAAGCGUUUCGGCGCGUAAAGCUCUGUCAGCGGGGAAGAAACACGGUUCGCGAGAGCCGCGGACGGUACCCGACCAAGAAGCCCCGGCGAACUACGUGCCAGCAGCAGCGGUAAUACGUAGGGGGCAAGCGUAUUCCGGAUUCACGGGGUUUAAAGGGAGCGUAGACGGCGAGACAAGUCUGGAGUGAAAGGCCGGGGCCCAACCCCGGGACUGCUCUGGAAACUGCCUGGCUGGAGUACAGGAGAGGUACGUGGAAUUCCUGGUGUAGCGGUGAAAUGCGUAGAUAUUAGGAGGAACACCAGUGGAGAAGGCGGCUUACUGGACUGUAACUGACGUUGAGGCUCGAAAGCGUGGGGAGCAAACAGGAUUAGAUACCCGGGUAGUC